ensembl:lncRNA
CGUCACUACAGUCCCUGGUUUGGAUCCAGGCUGUAUCACAUCCGGCCGUGAUUGGGAGUCCCAUAGCUCCGCGCACAAUUGGCUCAGCGUUGUCCGGGUUUUAAUUAAAAGGUUAGUUAACGUCCUGCAAAGAUGACUGCAAGAGCACAGCGCAGAAUGCUCAAUGAGGUAAAGAAGAAUCCUAGUGUCAGCUGAACACUUACAUAAAUCUCUGGAACAUGCUAACAUCUCUGUUGACGAGUCUACGAUAUGUAAAACACUAAAACAAGAAUGGUGUUCAGGGAAGAAGCCACCGCUGUCCAAAAAAAAACUAAUUUUGAAGUUCGCAAAAGUGCACCUGGAUGUUCCACAGCGCUACUGUCAAAAUAUUCUGUGGACAAAUAAAACUCAAAUGAAGUUGUUUUGAAGGAACACACAACACUAUGUGUGGAGAGAAAAAAAGGCACAGCACACCAAUUCUUCCCAAAGAUUAUCAAGACAUUUUGCAGGAGAAUGUUGGGCUAUCUGUCCGCCUAUUGAAGCUCUACAGAUGUUGGGUGAUGCAACAGGAAACGCAGAAGUAAAUCAACAACAGAAUGGCUUCAACAGAAGACAAUACGCCUUCUGGAGUGACCCAGUCCUGACCUCAACCCGAUUGAGAUGCUGUGUCCUGACCUCAACCCGAUUGAGAUGCUGUGGGACGACCUCAAGAGAGCCGUUCACACCAGACAUCCUAAGAAUUUGAACUGAACUGAAACAGUUUUGUAAAGAGGACAUUCCUCCUGACUGUUGCGCCGGUCUGAUCUGCAACUACAGAAAACAUUUGGUUGAUGUUGUUGCUGCCAAAGGAGGGUCAACCAGUUAUUAAAUCCAAGGGUUCACCUACUUUUCCCACCCUGCACUGUGAAUGUUUACACGCUGUGUUACACAGAGACAUGAAAACGUAUCGUUUUAAGUGUGUUAUUAGUUUAAGUAGACUAUGUUUGUGAUAGGUGAGAAUUGUCUUUUAAUUGAAUGAUUAGAAUAUUCCCUCCUGAAACAUAUAAUUGUAUGGAAUUGAUUAGAAUGUUUGAAAUCAUAAUCAAUAAAUGUGUAGUCCUAGUCAGAAUUAGGGUAAAACAAUAUGUCUUUAUGGUAUUUUAAACACAGACUGUCUGAGCUUGGUGCCGACCUGACUAGAGAUUUGGGAGAGAAUGGGGAGUACGUCUCGAGGACAAGGUCACUAUCUCUGUCGGCUGGGAAGUGAGACAGACAGUGUGUGUAGCAGGACAAGGUCACUAUCUCCGUCGGCUGGGAAGUGAGACAGACAGUGUGUGUAGCAGGACAAGGUCACUAUCUCCGUCGGCUAGGUAGUGAGACAGACAGUGUAGCAGGACAAGGUCACUAUCUCUGUCGGCUGGGAAGUGAGACAGACAGACAGUGUAGCAGGACAAGGUCACUAUCUCUGUCGGCUGGGAAGUGAGACAGACAGUGUGUGUAGCAGGACAAGGUCACUAUCUCCGUCGGCUAGGUAGUGAGACAGACAGUGUAGCAGGACAAGGUCACUAUCUCUGUCGGCUGGGUAGUGAGACAGACAGUGUUGCAGGACAUGUGUGUGAGUAUGUUUGUGUGUGUGUGUGUGUGUAUGUUUGUAUGUGUGUGCGUAUGUGUGUGCGUAUGUGUGUGCGUAUGUGUGUGUGUGUAUGUGUGUGUGUAUGUUUGUGCGUAUGGUUGUGUGUAUGUUUGUGCUUAUGGUUGUGCGUAUGUUUGUGUGUAUGUGUGUGUGUAUGGUUGUGUGUAUGUGUGUGUGUGUGUGUGUGUGUGUGUGUGUGUGUGUGUGUGUGUGUGUGUAUGUGUUGUGUGUGUGUGUGUGUAUUGUUGUGUGUGUGUGUGUAUGGUUGUGUGUGUGUGUGUGUGUGUGUAUGUGUGUGUGUGUAUGGUUGUGUGUGUGUGUGUGUGUGAGAAGUCAGUAUAAAUUAAUUGUUUUGUAUUCUUGACUCCAGAACGUUCCGUGAAUAAACCUUUUUGACCA